UACGGAAGGGGCGAGCGUUGUUCGGAAUCAUUGGGCGUAAAGGGCGCGUAGGUGGUUUUGUAUGUCUACCGUGAAAGCGUACGGCCAACCGUAUUUUGUCGGUAGAAACUGCAGGACUUGAGGCUGGGAGGGGCUGGUGGAAUUCCCUGUGUAGCGGUGAAAUGCGUAGAGAUGGGGGAGAACACUCGUGGCGAAGGCGGCCAGCUAGACCAGUUCUGACACUGAGGCGCGACAGCGUGGGGAGCAAACAGG
rnacentral:rRNA from 1 species